AGAGUUUGAUCCUGGCUCAGAUUGAACGCUGGCGGAACGCUUUACACAUGCAAGUCGAACGGUAACGCGGAGAGAAGCUUGCUUCUCUCCGGCGACGAGUGGCGAACGGGUGAGUAAUACAUCGGAACGUGUCCGCUCGUGGGGGACAACCAGCCGAAAGGUUGGCUAAUACCGCAUGAGUUCUACGGAAGAAAGAGGGGGACCCGCAAGGGCCUCUCGCGAGCGGAGCGGCCGAUGACUGAUUAGCCUGUUGGUGAGGUAACGGCUCACCAAAGCAACGAUCAGUAGCUGGUCUGAGAGGACGACCAGCCACACUGGGACUGAGACACGGCCCAGACUCCUACGGGAGGCAGCAGUGGGGAAUUUUGGACAAUGGGCGCAAGCCUGAUCCAGCUAUUCCGCGUGUGGGAUGAAGGCCCUCGGGUUGUAAACCACUUUUGUAGAGAACGAAAAGACACCUUUUAAAAAAGGGUGUUGCUGACGGUACUCUAAGAAUAAGCACCGGCUAACUACGUGCCAGCAGCCGCGGUAAUACGUAGGGUGCGAGCGUUAAUCGGAAUUACUGGGCGUAAAGGGUGCGCAGGCGGUUGAGUAAGACAGAUGUGAAAUCCCCGAGCUUAACUCGGGAAUGGCAUAUGUGACUGCUCGACUAGAGUGUGUCAGAGGGAGGUGGAAUUCCACGUGUAGCAGUGAAAUGCGUAGAUAUGUGGAAGAACACCGAUGGCGAAGGCAGCCUCCUGGGACAUAACUGACGCUCAGGCACGAAAGCGUGGGGAGCAAACAGGAUUAGAUACCCUGGUAGUCCACGCCCUAAACGAUGAGUACUAAGUGUAGCCAGAAGGCUGUGCUGAAGUUAACGCAUUAAGUACUCCGCCUGAGUAGUACGUACGCAAGUAUGAAACUUAAAGGAAUUGACGGGAUCCCGCACAAGCGGUGGAGCAUGUUGUUUAAUUCGACGAUACGCGAAGAACCUUACCAGGUCUUGACAUACUCGGCAAAUCUAUAGAGAUAUAGAGGAGGUUAACCGGGAUACAGGUGGUGCAUGGUUGUCGUCAGCUCGUGUCGUGAGAUGUUAGGUUAAGUCCUGCAACGAGCGCAACCCUUAUUGCUAGUUACCAUCAUUAAGUUGGGGACUCUAGCGAGACUGCCGGUGAUAAACCGGAGGAAGGCGGGGAUGACGUCAAAUCAUCAUGCCCUUUAUGACCUGGGCUACAAACGUGCUACAAUGGCUGACACAAAGAGAAGCGAGCUCGCGAGAGUAAGCAAACCUCAGAAAAGCAGUCUCAGUUCGGAUUGAAGUCUGCAACUCGACUUCAUGAAGUUGGAAUCGCUAGUAAUCGCGAAGCAGAGUGUCGCGGUGAAUACGUUCCCGGGAUUUGUACACACCGCCCGUCAAACCAUGAGAGUUUGUAAUACCCGAAGCCGGUGGCCGAACCGCAAGGAAGGAGCCGUCUAAGGUAGGACAGAUGAUUGGGGUUAAGUCGUAACAAGGUAUCCCUACGAGAACG
rnacentral:rRNA from 1 species